GGGCAGUAUCAUUUUGAACUGCACCUUGUUUGAAAUCUUUUUAAAAUGAAUAAUGUUCUGCCUAGAUCCAAGUGGACAGGGACAGAGGG
rnacentral:ncRNA from 1 species